AUUACAGAUUUUUAUUGUUCUCUGUUUUUCAAAUUUCUUUAAGUUUGUACAACUGACUAUACAUGUUAUGUACUGUUUCUGGUUCGAGUUGGCUGGCUGACAGUGCCUAUUUCUCUCUUUCCCCCCAAGAGACCCCAUUACAAUGAUAAUAAAGGCAUGUUUUAGAAAGCUGUAAAAACAUGAAGAGAAUGGUGGAGUGGCCACACAUGGCUGAGGGAUGACAUUGCAGGAAGAGGAAAAACCGGGGGAGGAACGGCUGCUGAAGAACACGGGUAGGGGCCGCACAGGAUGGAACACGCGGAGGGACAGUGUGGCCGCGGGGACAGCCACUCCCUUCUGCGGACCCAGCGGAGCAUCUCGGGGCUGGAAGCACCAGGUCACACCCGAGACCUCAAAGGCAGGUCCUGGGCCCAUUCCACCAGUCAGGCAAACGCUCCGGAGUGGGGAGGCGCAGGGAGCAGGGCAGCGAGCUGGCUUUUCAUUAUUCUGGUUGUUGUUGUUAUUACAGCAGACGCCUGCCCACCUGGAGGCCCGGCUUCCUUUAAGACCCGAGAGAGUAACGGUGGUCAUUCUGCAGGCGCAGGCCGAGCUGCCUCGCUGGCAGGCCGCAGGAACCCGCAAAUCUUAAGACAAAACUUGCCUCCACAGCGGGCACUCUGUCCACUGCAUCUACUAAGUGGAUCUCUUGCCACUGCUUCAUGCUUUCUUGCAACAGCUUAAAAGAUUAGAAGUAACCCAGGCAGCCAUUCCCAAGUAAAUUAAACUUUAAAAUCCCAACAAAAGGGAUUAGCCUUAUUUCUGAGAUUCUAGAGUAAGAGGACGUAGGACGAACGGGCCAGGUAAGAGAGGAAAAUGUGCGGCUCAGCGAAAGAAAGAACCUGGUCACAGCCAGGGCAGCACAAACAGGGCGCGGGCUGCCCUGAGGGGGAGUAGCGCCCCUGCGCGGAGCCUGGGUUCCUCACUGUGUAGACACGGGCAGCCUGGGCUCCGCUAAGCGGAUUUCUGGUACACGCUAGAGAGAGCUCGGUCCCGGCGUCCCUGCCUGACCCCUGCGCGUGGCUUCUCAGCUCCUGGCCCAGCUCCAUCCCGUAGGGCACGGCAGCUCCAGGAAGCAGCUGUCCCCACCCACGCCCGAGCAGGUGGCAGGUGCAGGGGCAGGCCUGCCACAAGAACCAGAGUUCAAGCUUCGCAGCUUCAGUCGGCUUCACAUGCCUUGUGCACGAGUUGCCCUUGCUUUUGCUUCUGCGUGUGGGCAAGUCUCAGGCGGCAGGCACACUGCUGCGCAUGCCAGAAGGUCUCUGCCUUGACUGUCCCCACCUCAUGGACUUCCUUUCAAGACCAAGUCAUUUCUCUGGUAGAAGAUCCCACACUCUUCCUCUCCCUGUGACUCCAUUUAAGACGGCCACUCCCUUAAUUACAGGAAGACCCAUGAGGAACUCGGAAAUCACUGUCUUCAAGGGCUUGACUGAAUUCUUAGCCAAAGGCGAAUUUCCUUCCAGGCUUGGUCUGGGGGCGGGGCU
rnacentral:lncRNA from 1 species